UACGUAGGGUCCGAGCGUUGUCCGGAAUUACUGGGCGUAAAGAGCUCGUAGGUGGUUUGUCGCGUUGUUCGUGAAAACUCACAGCUUAACUGUGGGCGUGCGGGCGAUACGGGCAGACUGGAGUACUGCAGGGGAGACUGGAAUUCCUGGUGUAGCGGUGGAAUGACGCAGAUAUCAGGAGGAACACCGGUGGCGAAGGCGGGGUCUCUGGGCAGUAACUGACGCUGGAGGAGCGAAAGCGUGGGGAGCGAACAGG
rnacentral:rRNA from 1 species